rnacentral:rRNA from 1 species
AUUGAACGCUGGCGGCAGGCCUAACACAUGCAAGUCGAGCGGUAGAGAGAAGCUUGCUUCUCUUGAGAGCGGCGGACGGGUGAGUAAUGCCUAGGAAUCUGCCUAGUGGUGGGGGAUAACGUUCGGAAACGGACGCUAAUACCGCAUACGUCCUACGGGAGAAAGCGGGGGAGCUUCGGACCUCGCGCCAUUAGAUGAGCCUAGGUCGGAUUAGCUAGUUGGUGAGGUAAUGGCUCACCAAGGCGACGAUCCGUAACUGGUCUGAGAGGAUGAUCAGUCACACUGGAACUGAGACACGGUCCAGACUCCUACGGGAGGCGGCAGUGGGGAAUAUUGGACAAUGGGCGAAAGCCUGAUCCAGCCAUGCCGCGUGUGUGAAGAAGGUCUUCGGAUUGUAAAGCACUUUAAGUUGGGAGGAAGUGCAGUAACCUAAUACGUUAUUGUUUUGACGUUACCGACAGAAUAAGCACCGGCUAACUUCGUGCCAGCCGCCGCGGUAAUAC